AGAGUUUGAUCCUGGCUCAGAGUGAACGCUGGCGGCGUGCCUAAUACAUGCAAGUCGAACGAUGAAGCUUCUAGCUUGCUAGAAUGCUGAUUAGUGGCGCACGGGUGAGUAACGCAUAGGUUAUGUGCCUCUUAGUUUGGGAUAGCCAUUGGAAACGAUGAUUAAUACCAGAUACUCCCUACGGGGGAAAGAUUUAUCGCUAAGAGAUCAGCCUAUGUCCUAUCAGCUUGUUGGUAAGGUAAUGGCUUACCAAGGCUAUGACGGGUAUCCGGCCUGAGAGGGUGAACGGACACACUGGAACUGAGACACGGUCCAGACUCCUACGGGAGGCAGCAGUAGGGAAUAUUGCUCAAUGGGGGAAACCCUGAAGCAGCAACGCCGCGUGGAGGAUGAAGGUUUUAGGAUUGUAAACUCCUUUUGUUAGAGAAGAUAAUGACGGUAUCUAACGAAUAAGCACCGGCUAACUCCGUGCCAGCAGCCGCGGUAAUACGGAGGGUGCAAGCGUUACUCGGAAUCACUGGGCGUAAAGAGCGCGUAGGCGGGAUAGUCAGUCAGGUGUGAAAUCCUAUGGCUUAACCAUAGAACUGCAUUUGAAACUACUAUUCUAGAGUGUGGGAGAGGUAGGUGGAAUUCUUGGUGUAGGGGUAAAAUCCGUAGAGAUCAAGAGGAAUACUCAUUGCGAAGGCGACCUGCUGGAACAUUACUGACGCUGAUUGCGCGAAAGCGUGGGGAGCAAACAGGAUUAGAUACCCUGGUAGUCCACGCCCUAAACGAUGGAUGCUAGUUGUUGGAGGGCUUAGUCUCUCCAGUAAUGCAGCUAACGCAUUAAGCAUCCCGCCUGGGGAGUACGGUCGCAAGAUUAAAACUCAAAGGAAUAGACGGGGACCCGCACAAGCGGUGGAGCAUGUGGUUUAAUUCGAAGAUACACGAAGAACCUUACCUAGGCUUGACAUUGAGAGAAUCCGCUAGAAAUAGUGGAGUGUCUGGCUUGCUAGACCUUGAAAACAGGUGCUGCACGGCUGUCGUCAGCUCGUGUCGUGAGAUGUUGGGUUAAGUCCCGCAACGAGCGCAACCCCCUUUCUUAGUUGCUAACAGGUCAUGCUGAGAACUCUAAGGAUACUGCCUCCGUAAGGAGGAGGAAGGUGGGGACGACGUCAAGUCAUCAUGGCCCUUACGCCUAGGGCUACACACGUGCUACAAUGGGGUGCACAAAGAGAAGCAAUACUGCGAAGUGGAGCCAAUCUUCAAAACACCUCUCAGUUCGGAUUGUAGGCUGCAACUCGCCUGCAUGAAGCUGGAAUCGCUAGUAAUCGCAAAUCAGCCAUGUUGCGGUGAAUACGUUCCCGGGUCUUGUACUCACCGCCCGUCACACCAUGGGAGUUGUGUUUGCCUUAAGUCAGGAUGCUAAAUUGGCUACUGCCCACGGCACACACAGCGACUGGGGUGAAGUCGUAACAAGGUAACCGUAGGUGAACCUGCGGUUG
rnacentral:rRNA from 1 species